rnacentral:snRNA from 1 species
GGAUGUGAGGGCUAUCUGGCCGUCACUCCCUCUGUCACUACAUUGAUCCCCAGGGUUGCUUUGGCUGGUCUGGCUGGCUAAGCAAGUGUCCCCUUCCUCCCUCGCCACUCCAUGUGCAUCCCUCCAAGCUGCAGCCUCGUGGAGAGGAAGAUCAUCCCCAAAUACAGGAGAGCAGGUCUUGGGUCAAGGGUAUAUGUAUAGCUGCACCCUGCUACUAGGACCACCAAACAUGCUGCCGAAAAGUCCAUUUGAUCUAACUUUGUACAUUGCAGUUUACCCAAUAUUGUCUUUAAAUCAAUUAUUAUUGUACUUGAGAAUAGCUCUCAU